rnacentral:rRNA from 1 species
UACAGAGGGUGCAAGCGUUGUUCGGAAUUAUUGGGCGUAAAGCGCGUGUAGGCGGCAUGGCAAGUCGGGUGUGAAAGCCCUCAGCUUAACUGAGGAAGUGCGCCCGAAACUGCCGUGCUUGAGUGCCGGAGAGGGUGGCGGAAUUCCCCAAGUAGAGGUGAAAUUCGUAGAUAUGGGGAGGAACACCGGUGGCGAAGGCGGCCACCUGGACGGUAACUGACGCUGAGACGCGAAAGCGUGGGGAGCGAACAGG